rnacentral:rRNA from 1 species
CCCUUAGAUGUUCUGGGCUGCACGCGCGCUACACUGAAGCUAUCAACACGUUUUCCCUCCCUGAGAAGGGCGGGUAACCUUUUGAAUCAGCUUCGUGGUAGGGAUCGGGGCUUGCAAUUGUUCCCCGUGAACCAGGAAUUCCUAGUAGACGCGAGUCAUAAGCUCGCAUCGAUUAAGUCCCUGCCCUUUGUACACACCGCCCGUCGCUCCUACCGAUUGAGUGGUCCGGUGAGGCUUUGGGAUCUGAGCAAAAAGAGCGUUUCGCUCGUUUGGCUCGGAAAACUCAGUCGAACCUUAUCAUUUAGAGGAAGGAGAAGUCGUAACA